rnacentral:rRNA from 1 species
AACGAACGCUGGCGGCAUGCCUAACACAUGCAAGUCGAACGAGACCUUCGGGUCUAGUGGCGCACGGGUGCGUAACGCGUGGGAACCUGCCCUUAGGUUCGGAAUAACUCCCCGAAAGGGGUGCUAAUACCGGAUAAUGUCUUCGGACCAAAGAUUUAUCGCCUUUGGAUGGGCCCUCGUUGGAUUAGCUAGUUGGUAGGGUAAACGCCUACCAAGGCGACGAUCCAUAGCUGGUCUGAGAGGAUGAUCAGCCACACUGGGACUGAGACACGGCCCAGACUACUACGGGAGGCAGCAGUGGGGAAUAUUGGACAAUGGGCGAAAGCAUGAUCCAGCAAUGCCGCGUGAGUGAUGAAGGCCUUAGGGUUGUAAAGCUCUUUUACCCGGGAUGAUAAUGACAGUACCGGGAGAAUAAGCUCCGGCUAACUCCGUG